ACUGACCUGCUUGAAUAAAUGAUAUCCACUGAUGAUAUAUAUUAAUGACAUCCACUAAUGAUAGCUAGCGAUGAUAUAUAUCGAUGAUAUCUGUGAUAUUGUUUAAUAGCAACAUAAUGAAUAAUAUGACGUCGCACUUUCGCUCCGUCUUGCCCUAGCUGCAUGUUCCAUGAAGCUUCUGCUAUAGAGUGUUGUGUCUGAGCUUUUUUUCAAUCCUUUGAAGAAAUUAAAGAUGCCUUCAUCUCUGCGAUUUAGAGGUUCAUUUGCCCACCCCCAGAAAGGGAGGGGAGGGGGGCCGGGAUAUCAGGCAGGCUGCCCCUAGCACUUAUAGAAAC
rnacentral:sRNA from 1 species